GUGAAUUGAGUAAACCAAGUGCACUUAAACAAACAUAAAGACUUAAACAAAACAAAAAACAAUCACCGGACGUAAUGGUAAUGUAUUUAUUGUAUAUGGUCUAAUUGUAUAUUGUCUAUAAUUAACAGGGCGCCCCUCUUCAGCUAGGAGGAAUUGAUUGCGGGGUAUUCAUGUUGAUGUAUGCACUCCAUGUUACGCUCUCAAAGCCAUUUGAUUUUGCUGCGUCUGACAUGCCUAUAAUCAGGAAGUGGUGGUGCUAUCAGUUAAUUCAGACAUUUCCUCUGACAAGUCAAGUCCAACAACUAGUCACCCAGGAACAAGAACUACCAAAUCCAGAAGACAUGGAAGUCACUCCACCUGAGUCAGAAAUCAUGGAGAUCACCCCAAC